rnacentral:rRNA from 1 species
UACGGAGGGUGCAAGCGUUAUCCGGAUUCACUGGGUUUAAAGGGUGCGUAGGUGGGCAGGUAAGUCAGUGGUGAAAUCUCCGAGCUUAACUCGGAAACUGCCAUUGAUACUAUCUGUCUUGAAUUAUCUGGAGGUAAGCGGAAUAUGUCAUGUAGCGGUGAAAUGCUUAGAUAUGACAUAGAACACCAAUUGCGAAGGCAGCUUACUACGGAUACAUUGACACUGAGGCACGAAAGCGUGGGGAUCAAACAGG